UGGUCUUGACAUCCCGGGAAUUUCCUUGAAAGAGGGAAGUGCCUGCAAGAGGAGCCUGGAGACAGGUGCUGCAUGGCUGUCGUCAGCUCGUGUCGUGAGAUGUUGGGUUAAGUCCCGCAACGAGCGCAACCCUUGUCUUUAGUUGCCAUCAUUCAGUUGGGCACUCUAAAGAGACUGCCGGUGUCAAACCGGAGGAAGGUGGGGGAUGACGUCAAGUCCUCAUGGCCUUUACUGACCAGGGCUACACACGUACUACAAUGGCCGGUACAAAGGGCAGCCACUUAGCGAGUAAGGAGCCAAUCCCGUAAAAGCCGGUCUCAGUCCGGAUUGGAGUCUGCAAUUCGCCUGCAUGAAGUCGGAAUCGCUAGUAAUCGCAGGUCAGCAUACUGCGGUGAAUACGUUCCCGGGCCUU
rnacentral:rRNA from 1 species